GAACGUAUGGCUUAGGGGUCAGAGCGUCUGGACCGUCUCCAGGAGGCGUGGGUUCAAGUCCCUCUACAUUAA
rnacentral:tRNA from 1 species